UCUCGAUCGGGCAUUCGAGUUCUUGUCCAUUUAAGCAUGCCAUUGUUCGCUACAUUUCUUCAUUCUGCAUUCUUAACACGCUAUCGAUGCUCUUGUUCAAGAUGUAUCGAUGGAGUUAAGUUUCUGCGGAUAGAUUUCGAGCGGUUUUCAUGAGUGAAGAAAAGUGAGGAGGGGAAUAUGAGUGAAAAGUGGUCUUUGAAGGUGGUUUGAAGUUUGAACUGCAGCAUGCAGAAAGGUUUUGUUUAUAGACUUGCCUUGGAUGUGGGCCCAUAGUUGAUGGUGGUGAAGAUGCAUCAAGAGUGUUAACAGGAUUAUGAAGCAAUUCCGAUGAACGAACAAAAGGUACUAUAUGCUUUUUUAUUUUAGAAGAAAAAUUAGUUUAUUUGGGAAACUAAAAGAAUUUGGAUUGUAAAGAUCCACACAAAACUGACGAAGAUCUUUGGAUGAGUGAUUUUAACUAUAACAUUAAUUAGAUCAUUAAAGUAAUGAAUUAGAUCGUUACUUUUAAACAAUUUUUUUAAAUAGCAUCUCAAUAAUGUCGUUCAUAUUGAUUGUGAAAAUGAAAUUUAGUAGACAAUGAGUUAAAUAUAUCAUUGCAUGUACUCUGAAGAGUCAUACAAAUGGUUAUUUUUGUGGUACUUAAUUUCUUGAAUUAAAUGGUUACGUUGAUAAUUUCAUUGGUGUCUAUUUUCUAACAAUAUUGUGGUAAAUACUAUUUGUAUUUCUUUAAGAAGUUGUUAUAUAAGUUUAAUGGGUAAAAAAAACGGAAACAUUGUCGAAAGCAAAAUUGCCUCAUAACAUGAAGUAAUGAAACUCUACUAACAAAACAUGAGAGAAAUAAUUGUUUAACUUACAGGAGAACCAUCAACACUAAUAGAGUAUCUGACAUCAUUUGUGCAAUAAGGAGAUUACAAAAACUGAAAAAAGAAAUUGUUAACAUGAGUAAUAUGUGCCACGUGUUUGAACAAAUAAAUGUAAUUAUGAUUUUGAGCAAACUUCUUCAGCUAUAAGUGAUCACUUGUCGUACUUCUUAGGUUACCCAUAUAAGUAUGCGCCUUUGUCUUUUGCAUAUAGAAAAGACAUGACGCGUAUCUAUGUAAUGAACCUAUUUUGUAACACAUUUGAUUACUGUAAUACUUACAGUAGAAGGAGGUUCUUAAUCGUUGCAUAAUUAUAUUUUUUUUCUGUAACACACAUGUCAUGUCUAUUCUCAUGAUAAGUGCAAUUCUUUUUUUAGUUUUUAUGAGUUUCUUAUCGCAGAAAUGAUGUUAGACAUUUUUACUAUUGUUGAUGUUUCUCCUAUAAGUUGGAAGAUUGUUUCUUCCAUUUUCUCUCAUAGUAGAAUUUUAUUUAGUUAA